CCUACGGGAGGCAGCAGUAGGGAAUCUUCCGCAAUGGACGCAAGUCUGACGGAGCAACGCCGCGUGAGUGAUGAAGGUUUUCGGAUCGUAAAACUCUGUUGCGAGGGAAGAAACCGUGCCAAUUAACUACUGGCACCUUGACGGUACCUCGCCAGAAAGCCACGGCUAACUACGUGCCAGCAGCCGCGGUAAUACGUAGGUGGCAAGCGUUGUCCGGAAUUAUUGGGCGUAAAGCGCGCGCAGGCGGUCCCUUAAGUCUGAUGUGAAAGCCCACGGCUCAACCGUGGAGGGUCAUUGGAAACUGGGGGACUUGAGUGCAGAAGAGGAAAGUGGAAUUCCAUGUGUAGCGGUGAAAUGCGUAGAGAUGUGGAGGAACACCAGUGGCGAAGGCGACUUUCUGGUCUGUAACUGACGCUGAGGCGCGAAAGCGUGGGGAGCAAACAGGAUUAGAUACCCUGGUAGUCCACGCCGUAAACGAUGAGUGCUAAGUUGUUAGGGGGCUUCCGCCCCUUAGUGCUGCAGCUAACGCAUUAAGCACUCCGCCUGGGGAGUACGGCCGCAAGGCUGAAACUCAAAUGAAUUGACGGGG
rnacentral:rRNA from 1 species